UACGUAGGGUCCGAGCGUUGUCCGGAAUUAUUGGGCGUAAAGGGCUCGUAGGCGGUUUGUCGCGUCGGGAGUGAAAACCUCGGGCUUAACUCGGGGCUUGCUUUCGAUACGGGCAGACUGGAGGUAUGCAGGGGAGAACGGAAUUCCUGGUGUAGCGGUGAAAUGCGCAGAUAUCAGGAGGAACACCGGUGGCGAAGGCGGUUCUCUGGGCAUGACCUGACGCUGAGGAGCGAAAGUGUGGGGAGCGAACGGG
rnacentral:rRNA from 1 species